GACGAACGCUGGCGGCGUGCUUAACACAUGCAAGUCGAACGAAGUGGCGAACGGGUGAGUAACGCGUAAUCAACCUGCCCUUCAGAGGGGGACAACAGUUGGAAACGACUGCUAAUACCGCAUACUGAAGGAGGGGAAUGCGUCUGAUUAGCUCGUUGGAGGGGUAACGGCCCACCAAGGCGAUGAUCAGUAGCCGGUCUGGGAGGAUGAACGGCCACAUUGGGACUGGGACACGGCCCAGACUCCUGCGGGAGGCAGCAGUGGGGAAUCUUCCGAAAUGGACGAAAAUCUGACGGAGCAACGGCGCGUGAGUGAAGAAAGUUUUCGGGUCGUAAAGCUCUGUUGUUAAGGAAGCGGUACUUAACCAGAAAGGGACGGCUAACUACGUGCCAGCAGCCGCGGUAAUAC
rnacentral:rRNA from 1 species